rnacentral:rRNA from 1 species
AGUGAACGCUGGCGGUAGGCCUAACACAUGCAAGUCGAACGGCAGCACAGUAAGAGCUUGCUCUUACGGGUGGCGAGUGGCGGACGGGUGAGGAAUACAUCGGAAUCUACUUUUUCGUGGGGGAUAACGUAGGGAAACUUACGCUAAUACCGCAUACGACCUACGGGUGAAAGCAGGGGAUCUUCGGACCUUGCGCGAUUGAAUGAGCCGAUGUCGGAUUAGCUAGUUGGCGGGGUAAAGGCCCACCAAGGCGACGAUCCGUAGCUGGUCUGAGAGGAUGAUCAGCCACACUGGAACUGAGCCACGGUCCAGACUCCUACGGGAGGCAGCAGUGGGGAAUAUUGGACAAUGGGCGCAAGCCUGAUCCAGCCAUACCGCGUGGGUGAAGAAGGCCUUCGGGUUGUAAAGCCCUUUUGUUGGGAAAGAAAAGCAGCAGGUUAAUACCACGCUGUUCUGACGGUACCCAAAGAAUAAGCACCGGCCAACUUCGUG